GCGCCCGUAGCUCAGCUGGAUAGGGCAUCAGACUUCGAAUCUGAGGGUCGGGAGUUCGAAUCUCUCCGGGCGCGCCA
rnacentral:tRNA from 1 species